CCGCGGAGCCGCGAGAGGACAAACAACACUCGGAUCCACACUUGUCGUCUGUAAACAAUCGCUACGGAGAAAUGCUGCUAAUGAAAAAUCAACACCUACGAAAUAACGCUGGAUAAUUUGUGUGCACGUGGCCCCACAUUGAACAGAGGGCUUCACUGUGGCUGUGACGUCCCUGAUAAGUCGGUUUAAAGCAGAGACAAACGCUCCACUGCAGAACAAGUCGUUUAAAAGGCGCCGAGAGGCCUGAACAAAUACGCAUCUAUCUGGAUAAAUAUGUCCCGAGUACCGUGAUGAAGACUCAUGUGGCUUACGUAAAUGGAUGAUUAUGAAGAACACCCGAGGUCGUCCUGGUGGAACAGAGGUUUGUAACAAACAAAGGACACAGUCGAACCUUCGCUGCGGCGCAUUCGGAGGGACGGAGGCGGGAGGAGGCUGCACGGGGGGAACGGAGCUCCUGGUGGACGAGCAUUUUCUGCCAAAGUUGUUCUCUGGGCUUCCUGCUGCUGCCUCUGCUCUGGAGCCCAGUUGGCCGGCGUGAGCGGAUGGACGGCCAAAUCCCCGAAGCCCAGAACCAACGCGCCGAGCGCGCCGCGAAGAGUCUCCACGCCGGCCACUGGCGCCGGCUCGUAGCUGAGGGACAUGCAGAGACUUUACAAACUAAAACUGUCCUUCAGCUGUCAGGUGGGUCGAGCAGAUUUGGACUCAAGCUUUAGAAAAGGUCUAUGAAGCUAAAACACACUGAUUUGUGUCCAAGGAUGUUCAAACGUUUGGAUCCUUUUGAGUUGUGGUUCAAAUAAAGAUGAAGAAGAAGCCGCUAAUUCACUUUAACUGCUGCUAUUUUAGAAGGUUGUGUUUACAAUUUGAUUUCACUUCGGGGGCGCAGUGGAGGUGGUGGAGGCGUGGUGGAGACGUGGUGGAGGCGGUGGGGGCGAUGUGAGGCCGCGGUGGGGACGCGGUGGAGGUGGUGGGGGCGCGGUGGAGGCGGUGGAGGCAAUGUGAGGCCGCGGUGGGAACGCGGUGGAGGUGGUGGGGGCGCAGUGGAGGCGCGGUGGAGGCGGUGGAGGCGGUGGGGGCGAUGUGAGGCCGCGGUGGGGACGCGGUGGAGGUGGUGGGGGCGCGGUGGAGGCGCGGUGGAGGCGGUGGAGGCGGUGGAGGCAAUGUGAGGCCGCGGUGGGGACGCGGUGGAGGUGGUGGGGGCGCGGUGGGGACGCGGUGAGGGCGAGAUGGGGACGUGGUGGAGGCGGUUGGUGCGCGGUGGGGGCGGGUAAAGUGACUGUGUUGCACCACCCUUUUUAAUAGAUAUGCAGUUGGAUGCGAGCAGAUGGGACAGCAGAGAAAAAAGCUACCGGCUGAUUAACGAAUCGCCUCAAACUUUUAUCACAGCUUCAUCUUGCAGCAUUUGAGGGCGCAUGAGAACAUGCUCAGGGGGGGGGGGGGGGUGAGGGGGGGAGGAUGGGGGGUAACACACUUGCCAUUUCAUAUGUGAUGAAUCUAUUUAAACAGAACAGAUGCAGAAGAGCUUCAUGCUUCUCAUUCUUCAUACGGUUUAAUCAAAGGGGGUCGAUUUCUGCUCGAUGGCUGCAGGAUCCUCGUAGUGAGAGGAUGAGAUGGAAGGUGGACCACAGCAGCACCUGGAGAAUUGUUCAGUGUAACACAGUUCAUGCGAGGAGGGACAACAGGCUGUUUUCACACAGAGAAUGAUCAGCACACACACACACACACACACACACACACACACACACACACACUUCCUCCCGGGUGCUUGUCAGGUCUGAUUAAAGAGCAAUCUGCUCACCAGAGGGGCUGAUGACACAUGACGGUGUUAAUUAAUAUCCACCAAGCAGGGAGAGGGGGGGGGGUUUGGGGGGUAUUUGAGGACGUUUUCCGAACACAGAGAAAGGGGAGGUGGGGGGGCUGGAAGAUUUCUUCUGAAUUAACCAAAAGACAGACGUUAGAGAUGCAUGUAGGUCAUAACUCAAAUAUAUCAAGUAUCAAGAAGAAAAGGGGGCUGUUUGUUAUGCUAACGGCGCCUCUCCUCAGCUCCUUUCCUCGCCUCAGCUCCUUUCCUCGCCUCAGCUCCUUUCCUCGCCUUUUCUCUUUGCAGGAGAUGCUUUCUUACAAUAAGUAGCAACCAAAGGACAGUGUGGUUGUACAGAAGUCUACGAGAAGAUGACUACCUCUCUGCAGUGACCAGCAGGGGGCGACUCCUCUGCUCCCAUAGACGUCU
ensembl:lncRNA